AACGAACGCUGGCGGCAGGCCUAACACAUGCAAGUCGAACGUGAAGCCACCUUCGGGUGGUGGAAAGUGGCAGACGGGUGAGUAACGCGUGGGAACGUGCCUUUCGGUUCGGAAUAACCCAGGGAAACUUGGGCUAAUACCGGAUACGCCCUUCGGGGGAAAGAUUCAUCGCCGAAAGAUCGGCCCGCGUCGGAUUAGCUAGUUGGGAGGGUAAUGGCCUACCAAGGCGACGAUCCGUAGCUGGUCUGAGAGGAUGACCAGCCACACUGGGACUGAGACACGGCCCAGACUCCUACGGGAGGCAGCAGUGGGGAAUAUUGGACAAUGGGCGAAAGCCUGAUCCAGCCAUGCCGCGUGGGUGAAGAAGGCCCUAGGGUUGUAAACCCCUUUCAGCGGGGAAGAUAAUGACGGUACCCGCAGAAGAAGCCCCGGCUAACUCCGUGCCAGCCGCCGCGGUAAAAC
rnacentral:rRNA from 1 species